rnacentral:rRNA from 1 species
GACGAACGCUGGCGGCGUGCCUAAUACAUGCAAGUAGAACGCUGAAGAGAGGAGCUUGCUCUUCUUGGAUGAGUUGCGAACGGGUGAGUAACGCGUAGGUAACCUGCCUUGUAGCGGGGGAUAACUAUUGGAAACGAUAGCUAAUACCGCAUAACAAUGGAUGACACAUGUCAUUUAUUUGAAAGGGGCAAUUGCUCCACUACAAGAUGGACCUGCGUUGUAUUAGCUAGUAGGUGAGGUAAUGGCUCACCUAGGCGACGAUACAUAGCCGACCUGAGAGGGUUGUCGGCCAACAUGGGACUGAGACACGGCCCAGACUCCUACGGGAGGCAGCAGUAGGGGAUCUUCGGCAAUGGGGGCAACCCUGACCGAGCAACGCCGCGUGAGUGAAGAAGGUUUUCGGAUCGUAAAGCUCUGUUGUAAGUCAAGAACGGGUGUGAGAGUGGAAAGUUCACACUGUGACGGUAGCUUACCAGAAAGGGACGGCUAACUACGUG